GGAGAUCACAAGAUGCACCUAUUAACACACAUUCCUUCAUUUAAAACUAUAAGAAGAGUUUUCCAUGGGCCACUGGAAACUGUACAGGCUCAGGUUAGCAGUGAACACGGCCCUGCCAGACCCGAAUUUGGUCACUUAAUAGCUCCCUUGUGUUCCCAAUGGCUUGGAUGUUUCGUGCACUCCAUCUUGUUCACUCUGCAGUUAAGGCUGGGCACACUGGCAUGCAGUCCAUAAUCAGUGACUUAAAUAUACUUCAAGCAACAGAUGUUUCUUGUGGACCCCUGUUGUGUGCAAGGCCUAUGGGGGGUGGUGUGCCAAGCUGCCCAAACCCCCCUGGGCUCCUGACUUGGAAGAUGUCAUAUUCACAGAAAAAAAGUGACUACCAGGAAGGAUUUGCUAUAUUUCAAACAAGGAAGGACUUGAAGCUGCACAGGGGCUGUAAGAUAGCUGCUGGGUCAGGAAGGCAUCCUGAAGGAAUUGUAAUGAGGGGGGCCUAACCAGGAGGCCCAGGAGGGGGUAGAGGGAGACAUUGUAGCAGGGGACCACUCUCUGAAGCGUUGUUCUCCAGCCUUGCUGCCAAAGUUGAGCCCUUUGACCUGCACUAAAACAACAACUCUGAGGACAGUAGUGACCGUGACAAUCUGCUGAGGCAUGUGCACCUGCCCCUUAUGAUUCAGGAGCUGCUAGCUUGGCUCAACCUAAUCAUUAGCAAGAGAAAUGGGAGAGCCUGGAUUCAUUUAAUCCACUUGGAGCAGCUCUUGUGUGACAUGCUGUCUGUUAGGCACUACAGGAAAUAGGAAGAUAAGUAGACAAGGCUUCCAUCUUCCAGGAACUUAGAGAACUGAAUGGGUGGUGUGUGAUGUGCACGAAACUAACUCAAAUACAAAUCAGAAUCUGUUGCUUUGGGCAAGGGUGAUGGGGAAUUCCCACUGGGAGGCCAGAGGAGGGAAGUUAAGUGUGGGAGCAAAAGGGUACGUGAGUAAUUCUGGUGGAAUGAAUUUGGGGAUAUAUAAAGAGAAAUCAGUAAGAUAAAGUUGGAGAAUUGAAUGGCCUAGAAUGCCAACCAAAGUGAUUUGGGCUUUCUACCAAAGGCAUUAAGUAAACCUGUGAAGGCUUUUGAGCCAGAGAGUGACAUGUUCAGAGCUAGGAUUCUAAAGGAUCCAUCUGAUAGUGGUGUUUGAGUUAUAGAGAGAUGAAAGGUGAGGGGAGGACCCUGAAGAACAGUUCGUAACUAAAAGGAACUUCAAGGGAUGCAAUGGCCUGAGACUAUUUACAUGCCACCUUUGCCCUUUAUAAUCACAUGGGCUAAUAAGUUACCUAACUGUUUAAAGCCCAUUUGAAUUGGGUUUUCUGUCGCACUCCUGGAACUCCUGCCCCUUCACAAUAGAAGGAUAUCCUUUAGCAUAUUGAAGUAAGAUAGAAUAUGCAGAUUCACAAUUUUGUAAGGGAAAGAGACAAACAGUACCAAAUCAGCUCAGUUAACUAUCCUGGGAGAAGAGUCAGACUAUGUUUUUGAGGUGGUUUGCUGAUUUUAAAUGUAUUCACCUACCUGCCUCCUUCAACUCACAGAACAACCCUAGAUGUAACUUCAAGUACCAAGAAGAAGCAGAUGCAAAACUACACUAGAGGGAAAUUCUCACUAUGUCGGGUACCAAGGACUCUCUCAGUAAAAAGAACCACCUACCCACCACCACCAUAAAACAAGAUAAAGACCUACUGAAAAUAAUCCCUCAACAAAAAAAACGAAUCAACCAUACAAAGAAAUAAACUAUCCCAAGAAGAGAACUGGAAUUCAAGAGAGAGAGAGCAUAGGGCUCCAGAGACCAUAAGCAAGAGUUGCCUGAGUGAGGUUACAAAAAGAGAAUAUCAAAAAUAAUGCAAGAGAUAAAAUGAGGAAUAGAAGCCCUAAAGUAGGACAUUAUGGAAAAAGACUAUGAUAAAGAACAGGUGGAUUUGAAAGAAAACCAAAUAGAACUUUAUAAAACCAUAAUCAUUGAAGUUAAAAAAUGAAAUGGAUUGGUUAAACAUCAGACAUAACAGAAGAAUUGAACAAUAUAUUUAAAGAAGCUUCCCAAAAUAUAUCCCAGAGUCAAAUGGCCAGAAAAUACCUCUCUAAAGAGAUAACGGAAGAUAGAAUGAAAAGUCUAACGUAUUUCUGAUAGGAAUUUCUGAAGAGGAUAAUAGGGAAGAAGUAAUAUUUGAAGAUAUAAAUGUCUGGGAAUUUUCUAGAACUGAGAAAAGGCAAGCAUCUGUAUAUUGAGAAGGCACAAUGGGUCCUAAGAAAAGUCAGUAAGUUCUUAUUUAGCUACAUAUGGUGAAACAGUAGCAUAUCAAAUGCAAAGAGAAAUUCUUAAAAACAACCCAGACAUAGAAAAGAAAAUUACCUAUAAAGGAACAUAAAGUAGGUUGAUAGCAAAUUUCUUAGCAACAGAAAUACACAGUAUAAAAAGAUGCAUAAUAUAGGAAUGGUGCCAUCAACCUAGAAUUCCAUACCUAGCUGUAGUGGAUAUUUAUUGCUUUGGUUACCUAGCUUAUAGGAGCACUUCUCCUUUGGGGGAAUUCCUAGAUUUUUGGGAAUCAAGCCUCAUUUCCCAUAACAGAUAGCUCUGGCCUUUGACCACUGGCAGCUAGAGUACAGGCUCAUGACUUCAUUAAAGCCAAUUAGAUGCCCCCACCCUUGAGAAAGUGACUCAAAGUAGAAACUAAGAAUGGGUGGCAUGGCAGCAAGUGUCUGGAGUCAUGGAAUCCAAACCACACUGUCCUUGUAACAAGAUCCAAGCUUGGUCCCUUGAUUCCCUGAGUUUGGUUUUACAGCCUUCUUGUUGGUUGGUAAGUUUCCUGAUACUCUUAUUUUCCACUUUAGUUAGAGUCUGCUUCUCUUUCAUGUUGCUCCUACCCUUGCCAACAGUUCUGGUCAUCUGCAAAGCUUCCAUUAACCUGACUCUCUCAACUCUCAACAAAGGGAACUCUCCGUUUGAAUAGCUAUUUCUUUUAGAGCUAGACACUGGCAUUUUUGUUAUUAAGUAGUGAUCAGCUCCAGUGAGAGGAAAGGGAGGAAUUCAACUCUAUUUUCCUUCCUUACAGACACUUCCAGGGCACACUUAACUGUCUUUGUAAUUCCAUGUUAUGUGCUGGCAAAGAAUGCAUGAAUAUUCGUGACAGUCACUGGCCCUGAAAAUACUUGUGUCUACCACUCACGGGUUGGUACCCUGGAUUCUUCAGAAUUACACUGCCAUGCACUCUUUCAUUUUGUUUUAUAUUUUAGGGAUAGAUAGAUUGCAGAAAAACAUUCUUCUGCCUCUGCCCUUGAUAUUUGUUGAGAUGAAUGGUCUAGAUAGGACCAGUGAAACUUUAUGCAGUUAAAAUUUAACAGGAACAUAUCCAGUUCAGAGGGAUAAAGGAAGGCAACACAACUUUGUCCAAAUGGGUUCACCAGUCAAGGGCAAGACAGAGAAAGGAAGCCAGAUUGUUGGAAAGAGGCAAAGACCAAAUAAACAAACAAAGCAAACAGACCAGAGCAACAGACCAAGGCUGAUAAAACCAUCCGAGGGCCACCGUCCUCAGUCUGAUUCACAGGCCACCUGUGCCCAGUUCAUGAGAACCAUCCCAAGUCCCUGAGUCAGAAUCACUGGGAGUGGGUGAGUCUGUGGACACUACAGCUGUGAGACACUGCCCUCUAGACCAGAGGCUCACAUGCAGUGACGGCAUCACCCCUUUCACACAGUGUCGGUCUUCGUGCACCGGGGCUCCCUGGCAUUCUGGGCAUUGAGCUGCAGUGACUGCUGGUCUUGGUCCUGAGAGUAAUUUUCAAGGGAUCUGGCUUUUUAAAAAUUGAAUAUAGAAAGUAAAAUCUGGCUGUCCAGUCAUUCCAUGCAAUUCUUUGGUCUAAGGGUAGAGGGAGGGCAGGUGCCCAGCAAAGCAGCUGAGAUGCAGGCAGACCAGGCCCAAGGGGGUCGUCCAGAGUACCCUGGACAAGCCAGGCCCAGCCAUGGGGGUUUGGGCAAAAAACCGUUAAGUGAUCAGGUAACAAAAUCUAAUGAUUGUAAAAGCCCCAUGACUAAUUUCUUUUGUAACCAGAAGGCGGCAGUUCUCCUAUAUUCCUGAACAGGAGAGAAACAUUCUCUUCAUAUAUUUUCAAGCAUCAGAUUUAUCAGAAGGAUAUGAAUUGCCUUGAGCAGCGCUGUUUUCCAUAUUCCACUUUUACAAACUGCUUCAACAGAGACACGUUUGGAUAGGACUGCCUUUUAGAACCCAGUCCCUCCUCUCUUCUCCAAGUCAACACUACAAACAUUUAAACAUGGGUUUUAAAUGGAGAUUUAAGGCGGUUUCAUCUCACAGCUUGGGGCAGGUGGGGACCACCAUGCAGGGAGUAUCUGAGGCGCCACCCUGGGAGGAGGGGAGAAGUUUUAGGGAGGUUUGCCCAAGUGGAGAUCCUCCUGCAAGAACCUUCCAUGCUGUCAGGGGAGCAGCACCGAGACUGUGGAGCAGAGACGGGUGUGGUCCCACCCGGAAAGAAGGGCAAGCAGAGCAAACCUGCGAUUCAGAGCCAGGCCGCAGCACCCACAGUGGGUCUUUAUUAAGCCAUUAUUCUUGCAGUGCUUCCCAGGGGAGGUGUGCAUCACACCCAGGCCUUCCUGGACCAUGAAACCAGUGGUCCAGAAACAUGCAGGAGUAAUCACAGCCAUUCCUGACCCCCAGCCUGGUGGCUGGUGUCUCCCAUUCUCCACUGCUGGUAGUGACGAGGGGCGAGGCAGUCCGGCUGGUCAUCUGUCAUGGGAUGAGACAGCCACUCCAGCGACGGCUCCAGCGUCCCUCUCCCCAGCCUCAGGGCCAAGAAAAUGAGCAGCUGGUAAGAUGGCAUCUCGGCCUUCACUGCUCCGGCCUCUCUGUCCAUCGCUCUGGGCCUCAUCAGCCUAUAUAUGAUCAACACAAGCCUUGAGAACAUGCUGGAGGAAGCCAAGCUCCCCGUGCCAUGGACAUGGUGGGACACAAAGGGUUCCAGAGAUUGACACCAGAAUUUUGAUUUCUGGUAUCAGUAUUCUCACAAAGAGUUGGGGCAGGUGGACAGCUUGCUUCUGAGUCUAGACUUUGUUUACACCCUGGAUGGUUUGCAUGAGAAGCAACAAUGAGGUCCCUCUUCUUUUGCCACUCCAGGGUUUCAAGAUCUCAGAAGGCUCCUAUUAAUCUGGGUGGGAAUCUGGUGUUUUCUCAGCCUUUGUUUUGAUUAAAAGAAUAUGGAGCUAAGCAUCUUGAAAAUAAACAAGGGCUUCCCUCGA